GGCUUGGUGGUCUAGUGGUAUGAUUCACCCUUAGGGAUUUUUAUCAUCUGGGUGAGGUCCCGGGUUCAAUUCCCGGCCAAGCCC